GACGAACGCUGGCGGCGUGCUUAACACAUGCAAGUCGAACGGAAAGGCCUCUUUCGGGGGGUACUCGAGUGGCGAACGGGUGAGUAACACGUGAGUAACCUGCCCUUGACUUUGGGAUAACUUCAGGAAACUGGGGCUAAUACCGGAUAGGAGCUCCUGCUGCAUGGUGGGGGUUGGAAAGUUUCGGCGGUUGGGGAUGGACUCGCGGCUUAUCAGCUUGUUGGUGGGGUAGUGGCUUACCAAGGCUUUGACGGGUAGCCGGCCUGAGAGGGUGACCGGCCACAUUGGGACUGAGAUACGGCCCAGACUCCUACGGGAGGCAGCAGUGGGGAAUAUUGCACAAGGGGUGGAAGCCUGAUGCAGCAACGCCGUGUGCGGGAUGACGGCCUUCGGGUUGUAAACCGCUUUCGCUCAUGACGAAGCUUUGUGUGACGGUAGUGGGUAAAGAAGCAUCGGCUAACUACGUG
rnacentral:rRNA from 1 species